CCUACGGGAGGCUGCAGUAGGGAAUCUUUCACAAUGGGCGAAAGCCUGAUGGAGCAACGCCGCGUGCAGGAUGAAGGCCUUCGGGUUGUAAACUGCUUUUAUAAGCGAGAAAUAUGAUGGUAACUUAUGAAUAAGGAUCGGCUAACUACGUGCCAGCAGCCGCGGUAAUACGUAGGGGGCAAGCGUUAUCCGGAUUUACUGGGUGUAAAGGGAGCGUAGACGGCAGAGCAAGUCUGAAGUGAAAGCCCGCGGCCCAACUGCGGGACUGCUUUGGAAACUGCCCGGCUAGAGUGCUGGAGAGGUAAGCGGAAUUCCUAGUGUAGCGGUGAAAUGCGUAGAUAUUAGGAGGAACACCAGUGGCGAAGGCGGCUUACUGGACAGUAACUGACGUUGAGGCUCGAAAGCGUGGGGAGCAAACAGGAUUAGAUACCCCAGUAGUC
rnacentral:rRNA from 1 species